UUAGUAACGCGUGGGAACAUACCCUUUUCUACGGAAUAGCCUCGGGAAACUGAGAGUAAUACCGUAUAAGCCCUUCGGGGGAAAGAUUUAUCGGGAAAGGAUUGGCCCGCGUUAGAUUAGAUAGUUGGUGGGGUAAUGGCCUACCAAGUCUACGAUCUAUAGCUGGUUUUAGAGGAUGAUCAGCAACACUGGGACUGAGACACGGCCCAGACUCCUACGGGAGGCAGCAGUGGGGAAUCUUAGACAAUGGGCGCAAGCCUGAUCUAGCCAUGCCGCGUGUGUGAUGAAGGUCUUAGGAUCGUAAAGCACUUUCGCCAGGGAUGAUAAUGACAGUACCUGGUAAAGAAACCCCGGCUAACUCCGUGCCAGCAGCCGCGGUAAUACGGAGGGGGUUAGCGUUGUUCGGAAUUACUGGGCGUAAAGCGUACGUAGGCGGAUCAGAAAGUAGGGGGUGAAAUCCCAGGGCUCAACCCUGGAACUGCCUCCUAAACUCCUGGUCUUGAGUUCGAGAGAGGUGAGUGGAAUUCCAAGUGUAGAGGUGAAAUUCGUAGAUAUUUGGAGGAACACCAGUGGCGAAGGCGGCUCACUGGCUCGAUACUGACGCUGAGGUACGAAAGUGUGGGGAGCAAACAGGAUUAGAUACCCUGGUAGUCCACACCGUAAACGAUGAAUGCCAGUCGUCGGGCAGUAUACUGUUCGGUGACACACCUAACGGAUUAAGCAUCCG
rnacentral:rRNA from 1 species